rnacentral:rRNA from 1 species
UAGAGUUUGAUCAUGGUCUCAGAUUGAACGCUGGCGGCAUGCCUUACACAUGCAAGUCGAACGGCAGCACGGGGGCAACCCUGGUGGCGAGUGGCGAACGGGUGAGUAAUAUAUCGGAACGUACCCAGUAGUGGGGGAUAACUAUCCGAAAGGAUAGCUAAUACCGCAUACGAUCUGUGGAUGAAAGCAGGGGAUCUUCGGACCUUGUGCUAUUGGAAUGGCCGAUAUCUGAUUAGCUAGUUGGUAGGGUAAAAGCCUACCAAGGCGACGAUCAGUAGCUGGUCUGAGAGGACGACCAGCCACACUGGAACUGAGACACGGUCCAGACUCCUACGGGAGGCAGCAGUGGGGAAUUUUGGACAAUGGGGGCAACCCUGAUCCAGCAAUGCCGCGUGAGUGAAGAAGGCCCUCGGGUUGUAAAGCUCUUUUGUCAGGGAAGAAACGGUGAUCUCUAAUAUAGAUUGCUAAUGACGGUACCUGAAGAAUAAGCACCGGCUAACUACGUGCCAGCCGCCGCGGUAAUUCA